rnacentral:rRNA from 1 species
AGCGAACGCUGGCGGCAGGCCUAACACAUGCAAGUCGAACGAACUCUUCGGAGUUAGUGGCGGACGGGUGAGUAACACGUGGGAACGUGCCUUUAGGUUCGGAAUAACUCAGGGAAACUUGUGCUAAUACCGAAUGUGCCCUUCGGGGGAAAGAUUUGUCGCCUUUAGAGCGGCCCGCGUCUGAUUAGCUAGUUGGUGAGGUAACGGCUCACCAAGGCGACGAACAGUAGCUGGUCUGAGAGGAUGACCAGCCACACUGGGACUGAGACACGGCCCAGACUCCUACGGGAGGCAGCAGUGGGGAAUCUUGCGCAAUGGGCGAAAGCCUGACGCAGCCAUGCCGCGUGAAUGAUGAAGGUCUUAGGAUUGUAAAAUUCUUUCACCGGGGACGAUAAUGACGGUACCCGGAGAAGAAGCCCCGGCUAACUUCGUGCCAGCCGCCGCUGUAAAAC